CUCAUUUACUCUGCUGAAGCAGGUAUCCAAGUGUCAAUGUAGACCUCGGAGGGCAAAGCAGAGUCCUUUCAUCUUUGGAUUAACCAACAUAGUCAUAAAAAUAUUUAGGCAUACAUGGUGGAUCCUUUUUGCAAUGGUUGAAAGUUUUGCAUCUAAUUUGUUAUAUCAGGUUUCCACAUGUGAUUCUAUGAUUUGAGACAUCACUGGGUGGGGCUAUAGUUCUCUGCUAGCAAUGUGGUUAAUAUUAGAAUAAUGUGUGCUGGUUUGUAUACAGUAAUAUUGUGGCACUGUUGUAUAUAGUGAGUGAUGCAAGUUUAGCCCUAUUUACCAGGAUUUCUUCCAGGUAAGGAAGGGAUGUAGUCCCCUGCCUUAUCUUUGAACAUCAUGAGUGUCUCCCGUGAAUGGAUGACAUUUUAGAAAAUCCAGUGUUUCCUGCUAUAGAACUCCAAAGAAAUAUGGAUACUUCAAAGUAUUUUUGUUAUAAUUUCUUCAUUUACACAAUAAUUAUAUUCCUUUUGGGGGCCAUAUAUUCAUUUUCUUGGAUAAAAUGAGUAGUUGAGACAGUGUGAAAAUCUCGGCGAUGAAGCCUACUGCUUCGUUUCCAAAAGCAGUCCCUCCUGUUCCGUUGUGUCCUGGCCUACCCUGGACUCGUGAUGUUUUCUGCCAUCGAAGGAUUGAUUCUUCCUGAGGACACUGACCCUGGAACCGUAUGGCCACUCUAGUGACCCAUUUUCAAGGAGAGUCAACUGAGUCCAUUAAGAAAACCAGGGCAGCUCUGACAAGCCAGGAGUAAAGCCCUUGAAUGAAAGUAUUCCUCAGGUGAGGUGAGAUCAACAUCACAGGAGAGAGGAUGGUCCAGAAGUUCCUGGUUACAGCCUGUCCUUUGAGCGCCACGCACACUGGUAGAGGUUUCUCUGGUCAAUCUCAGCUCAGGCAUGGGCCCUGGAGCAGGAGCCAAUCAGCGACGAAGGGGCGGGCUGUAUGAACUAUCCAAUCAGGUAGGCUGAGGGAGGAGGCUGUUCCCGAGUCCUGGCGCGGAAGUGCGCCCCGCCCCCCAACUAGAUCUCCUUUUUCUGUACUUCUGCUGGCUUCGGGCUGCAUUGGGAGGGCCUUGGGAGACCCUCAAGCCGCGGAAUGGUGACGCUGAGGGAGCUGGGAAUGGGAUGGAAUCGAGUGAGUUCUUGGAGGAAGUGGCCAGAACAAGCUACGGCCUUCUUCACCUCCGGUCACACCUAAAACCUCAGCGCUCUAGUGAUGCUGUGAUUCUCCAGGACAAGAUUGCACGAGCUGAAGACAUCCUGGGAGGAACAAAACCUUCAUGUUCACCAGAUAUAUUUCCACCGGAUGUCCCUUUCAAUCUCUUUCUUUUUAGAAUACUGUAGUUUUCAUACUAGAGGUUUUCAUUUUUUUGUUUAGGUUAAUUCCUAAGUAUUUAUUUUUCAUUUAUUGUAAACAGCAUUUUCAAAUUUUUGUGAGUUCAUUAUUAUUGUACAAGAAUUCUAUAAAUAUUUGUGUUUUGAUUUUGUAUUAAGGUACACUACUAAAUUCAGUUAAUUUUUAUUAUCAUUCAGUAUAUUUUUGGGUUUUCUUUGUAAUCAUGUAAUCUGCAAUUAAUGUUAAUUUGACUUCUUCCUUUUCUAUAUGUAUCAUUUUUCCUGAUUGCUGUGGCUAAUUAUUUUGAGUAUACUGAAGAGGAGCAGUGAUAGUGGACAUCCUUCUCCUCUUUUUUCUAAUUUUUAAGGAAAAACUUUCAGUUUUUUCCCAUUUAAUGUAAUGUUGGUAGGCUUUUUAUAAAUGGCUUUUACUGGAUUAAGAUAAAACCAUUCCACAUCUAUUUUCUUCAGAGUUUUUAUGAAUUAUAUUGGAUUUUGUCAAAGGCUUUUUUGCAUCUAUUGAGAUAAUAUUGUGAUAUUUUGUAUUGUUUUGUUAGCCUCAAUUUUAUUAAUUUCUGCUUUGAUGUUUAUAAUUUUCUUACUUGUACUUGAUUUGGAUUGUUCUCAUUUUUCAAGAACAACCCAAGAGGCAUCAUUAGGUUAUUUAUGUGGACUCAUUCUGUUUUCCAGAUGUGGACAUUUACAACCAUAAACAGGUCACUCUGGUGUAUUCAUUCCAUUAGAUGUUUUGGCAUCAUUUGCUUUAUCAUCCCUUUCUAAGAUACAUAGUAACAUUAAUCAUAUGCAGAACUUUGGAAUUUCAUGUUUGUGACAUGGUGAUGGAAACAUGCAAACGUGAGUCCAUUACCAUGGGAGAAAUGAUCACUAUGAGGUUUGUGGGUUGGUUGAAGACCUGUGCUCUCUGUUUGACUUUCUUUGUAAGAUGAAAGGAAAAACUUGGGAGAGCAGAAGCAAUGAUGAACAGUACUAAAAAUUAUACAAUUCUAUAAUAUAAAUAGUAGCUAAAAUAUAACACAAAACUAAAGAAAUAAACUAGGUAGAUUUUCAAUCAUUCUUUAGUAAGGCACAGAGAUUUACUCAAGAGCCUUAAAACACUGAGUUACAACAGCAGCCUUGCCUUUUCAUAUUUUAUUCUGAGACAAGGUCCAACUAAGUUGCCCAGGCUGGCUUGAAUCCUGCAGUCUUAUUCCACCUCUGCUUCUUGAGAGCAUAGGACUACAGACAUAAACCACCAGUACCAGCAAGGUUUUUAUGCUAAAUUAAUGGCAAAUAAAUGUCCUCAAGAUAAAAUAUCUUAUUUUUACUAUUUCAUCUCUGGAACAGCAGUAUGCACUGUACAAAUUCCUGAUGGAAAGAAAUAGAAAUGAACUACAGUUAAAUUAGCCACAUGUUCAAAAGUGUAAAAAUUGAUACUGUACUCUUCAAAGUAGCAUGUCAUGAAUUACAUGAGACACUAAAUAUUUCAUUUUGAUAGACAUAACUCUUGAUAUUGCCCACCUAAUGGUUAAUUUUUCUAAGUAUUAUAUUAAGAUAAGGUAUAUUGUUCACUAUAUUCAUUUUACAGUAUCUUGUUUGAGAAAGAUAUCAUCCUGUUGGUCUUUGGUAGCGGGGGUCCUAGCAGUAUAUAUUUUUGGUAUAAUGACUGAUAGAAAGAUUACUAUGAAAAUAAAUCAUAGCAAUGUGAGCGUGAAAAGUAAAAUUUAUGAUAAAAAUAUAUACAAUAUAUAAUAUAUACAUAAUGGCUCUGAUAUCAAAGAAAAAACAGACAAGAUUUUGUACUUCAUAUAACUGUAAUUAUGUUGAGAUAUAUAGAUAUCUUCUCAGAAAAACAUAUUUCCUAACCAGCAAGUUGAACUCUAUAUAAUGCACAUGUAUAGAAAUUUUACAAUAUGCAUUAUAAUUAUAAAAUGUAACAUCCAAUUAAAAUUGUUUUGUUCGAAAAAUAGAAAAUGAGCCAAAUGUGUUAGCAUAUGCCUGUAAUCCCAGCACUCAGGAGGCUGAGGCAGGAGAAUUGCUGAGUUCUAGGCAAGCCUGGGCUAGUGAGGUCAAGGCCAACCUGAA